rnacentral:lncRNA from 1 species
UAAAAGCAAAUAAAAGGCCUGAUGGCUCAUGUCGCUCCCAUCCUGGGUGAAGGUGUUUUCUAGAUUAAGGGAAGACAUUUGCUUGGGGUCUGCAGGCUCCUUGCAAGGGGUUACCAGAUAAAAUACAGUGACAAGCUUACAUUUAAAAAUUGUAAUUAUUUAUCUGAAAUUCAAAUUUAACCAGAUGUCUUAUAUUUUAUUUGCUAAAAAAACCAUGCAUCCCUCCUUGCAACUGAAAAGUGAGAAAGGAGGUGAGAUUGUGGUGCCAGGGACAGGAGGGUCCCGUGGGAAGAGGGAGACUCCAGCAGCCACCUGUCUGCCACUGUGCCCACCAACCUCCCUCAUUUUUCUCAGAGCACUCAGAGAGGUCACGGAUAUGCCAGUGUCCUAGGGUGGGGACACUAACGAUUUUUGGGUCUUUUCCUGUCUCCCUCACUCAAAUAUUGAAGUCCCCUCUGCUGGCUGCCUGUGUCUCUGGGACCAUUCUUCCCAUGCGCCUGUGGCCACAUCACCUGCUUUGAAGCAGGAAUGAUCCCAGCAGCUUGCUUUCUUUCAGCACCUCACCUUCUGGGUUUUGUGGCCACACACACCAUCCUGUGGUCCAUGCAGGAAGGCAAGGUGCUCUUUUAGGGAAGGAAAAACAGUCCUGCAGAUCCAGCCAUCCCCAAACCUUCUGGCUUUCUUCGUGUCCUGGGUCUGUGAAAGAGGUGCUGACGGCCAGAAAAAGAGCGAGAGGUCACUCAUUGUCAUUACACAUGG